rnacentral:rRNA from 1 species
GGUUAAGCGACUAAGCGUACACGGUGGAUGCCCUGGCAGUCAGAGGCGAUGAAGGACGUGCUAAUCUGCGAAAAGCGUCGGUAAGGUGAUAUGAACCGUUAUAACCGGCGAUGUCCGAAUGGGGAAACCCAGUGCAAUUCGUUGCACUAUCGUUAACUGAAUACAUAGGUUAACGAGGCGAACCGGGGGAACUGAAACAUCUAAGUACCCCGAGGAAAAGAAAUCAACCGAGAUUCCCCCAGUAGCGGCGAGCGAACGGGGAGCAGCCCAGAGUCUGAAUCAGCUUGUGUGUUAGUGGAACGGUCUGGAAAGUCCGACGGUACAGGGUGAUAGUCCCGUACACCAAAAUGCACAGGUUGUGAACUCGAAGAGUAGGGCGGGACACGUGGUAUCCUGUCUGAAUAUGGGGGGACCAUCCUCCAAGGCUAAAUACUCCUGACUGACCGAUAGUGAACCAGUACCGUGAGGGAAAGGCGAAAAGAACCCCGGCGAGGGGAGUGAAAAAGAACCUGAAACCGUGUACGUACAAGCAGUGGGAGCACCUUUAUGGUGUGACUGCGUACCUUUUGUAUAAUGGGUCAGCGACUUAUAUUCUGUAGCAAGGUUAACCGUAUAGGGGAGCCGCAGGGAAACCGAGUCUUAACUGGGCGUUAAGUUGCAGGGUAUAGACCCGAAACCCGGUGAUCUAGCCAUGGGCAGGUUGAAGGUUGGGUAACACUAACUGGAGGACCGAACCGACUAAUGUUGAAAAAUUAGCGGAUGACUUGUGGCUGGGGGUGAAAGGCCAAUCAAACCGGGAGAUAGCUGGUUCUCCCCGAAAGCUAUUUAGGUAGCGCCUCGUGAAUUCAUCUUCGGGGGUAGAGCACUGUUUCGGCUAGGGGGUCAUCCCGACUUACCAACCCGAUGCAAACUACGAAUACCGAAGAAUGUUAUCACGGGAGACACACGGCGGGUGCUAACGUCCGUCGUGAAGAGGGAAACAACCCAGACCGCCAGCUAAGGUCCCAAAGUCAUGGUUAAGUGGGAAACGAUGUGGGAAGGCACAGACAGCCAGGAUGUUGGCUUAGAAGCAGCCAUCAUUUAAAGAAAGCGUAAUAGCUCACUGGUCGAGUCGGCCUGCGCGGAAGAUGUAACGGGGCUAAACCAUGCACCGAAGCUGCGGCAGCGACACGAUGUGUUGUUGGGUAGGGGAGCGUUCUGUAAGCCUGCGAAGGUGACCUGUGAGGGUUGCUGGAGGUAUCAGAAGUGCGAAUGCUGACAUAAGUAACGAUAAAGCGGGUGAAAAGCCCGCUCGCCGGAAGACCAAGGGUUCCUGUCCAACGUUAAUCGGGGCAGGGUGAGUCGACCCCUAAGGCGAGGCCGAAAGGCGUAGUCGAUGGGAAACAGGUUAAUAUUCCUGUACUUGGUGUUACUGCGAAGGGGGGACGGAGAAGGCUAUGUUAGCCGGGCGACGGUUGUCCCGGUUUAAGCAUGUAGGCUGGUUAUCCAGGCAAAUCCGGAUAAUCAAGGCUGAGGUGUGAUGACGAGGCACUACGGUGCUGAAGUAACAAAUGCCCUGCUUCCAGGAAAAGCCUCUAAGCAUCAGGUAACAUCAAAUCGUACCCCAAACCGACACAGGUGGUCAGGUAGAGAAUACCAAGGCGCUUGAGAGAACUCGGGUGAAGGAACUAGGCAAAAUGGUGCCGUAACUUCGGGAGAAGGCACGCUGGUGUGUAGGUGAAGCCCCUGCGGGUGGAGCUGAGACCAGUCGAAGAUACCAGCUGGCUGCAACUGUUUAUUAAAAACACAGCACUGUGCAAACACGAAAGUGGACGUAUACGGUGUGACGCCUGCCCGGUGCCGGAAGGUUAAUUGAUGGGGUUAUCCGUAAGGAGAAGCUCUUGAUCGAAGCCCCGGUAAACGGCGGCCGUAACUAUAACGGUCCUAAGGUAGCGAAAUUCCUUGUCGGGUAAGUUCCGACCUGCACGAAUGGCGUAAUGAUGGCCAGGCUGUCUCCACCCGAGACUCAGUGAAAUUGAACUCGCUGUGAAGAUGCAGUGUACCCGCGGCAAGACGGAAAGACCCCGUGAACCUUUACUAUAGCUUGACACUGAACAUUGAGCCUUGAUGUGUAGGAUAGGUGGGAGGCUUUGAAGCGUGGACGCCAGUCUGCGUGGAGCCAACCUUGAAAUACCACCCUUUAAUGUUUGAUGUUCUAACGUUGGCCCCUGACCGGGGUUGCGGACAGUGUCUGGUGGGUAGUUUGACUGGGGCGGUCUCCUCCCAAAGCGUAACGGAGGAGCACGAAGGUUAGCUAAUCCUGGUCGGACAUCAGGAGGUUAGUGCAAUGGCAUAAGCUAGCUUGACUGCGAGCGUGACGGCGCGAGCAGGUGCGAAAGCAGGUCAUAGUGAUCCGGUGGUUCUGAAUGGAAGGGCCAUCGCUCAACGGAUAAAAGGUACUCCGGGGAUAACAGGCUGAUACCGCCCAAGAGUUCAUAUCGACGGCGGUGUUUGGCACCUCGAUGUCGGCUCAUCACAUCCUGGGGCUGAAGUAGGUCCCAAGGGUAUGGCUGUUCGCCAUUUAAAGUGGUACGCGAGCUGGGUUUAGAACGUCGUGAGACAGUUCGGUCCCUAUCUGCCGUGGGCGCUGGAGAAUUGAGGGGGGCUGCUCCUAGUACGAGAGGACCGGAGUGGACGCAUCACUGGUGUUCGGGUUGUCAUGCCAAUGGCACUGCCCGGUAGCUAAAUGCGGAAGAGAUAAGUGCUGAAAGCAUCUAAGCACGAAACUUGCCCCGAGAUGAGUUCUCCCUGAGACUUUAAGUCUCCUGAAGGAACGUUGAAGACGACGACGUUGAUAGGCCGGGUGUGUAAGCGCAGCGAUGCGUUGAGCUAACCGGUACUAAUGAACCGUGAGGCUUAACCUU